GAUGAACGCUGGCGGCGUGCCUAAUACAUGCAAGUCGAGCGAACAGACGAGGAGCUUGCUCCUCUGACGUUAGCGGCGGACGGGUGAGUAACACGUGGAUAACCUACCUAUAAGACUGGGAUAACUUCGGGAAACCGGAGCUAAUACCGGAUAAUAUAAUGAACCGCAUGGUUCAAUAGUGAAAGACGGUUUUGCUGUCACUUAUAGAUGGAUCCGCGCCGCAUUAGCUAGUUGGUAAGGUAACGGCUUACCAAGGCAACGAUGCGUAGCCGACCUGAGAGGGUGAUCGGCCACACUGGAACUGAGACACGGUCCAGACUCCUACGGGAGGCAGCAGUAGGGAAUCUUCCGCAAUGGGCGAAAGCCUGACGGAGCAACGCCGCGUGAGUGAUGAAGGUCUUCGGAUCGUAAAACUCUGUUAUUAGGGAAGAACAAAUGUGUAAGUAACUAUGCACGUCUUGACGGUACCUAAUCAGAAAGCCACGGCGAACUACGU
rnacentral:rRNA from 1 species